rnacentral:rRNA from 1 species
GACGAACGCUGGCGGCGUGCUUAACACAUGCAAGUCGAACGGAAAGGCCCUGCUUUUGUGGGGUGCUCGAGUGGCGAACGGGUGAGUAACACGUGAGUAACCUGCCCUUGACUUUGGGAUAACUUCAGGAAACUGGGGCUAAUACAGGAUAGGAGCUCCUGCUGCAUGGGGGGGGUUGGAAAGUUUCGGAGGUUGGGGAUGGACUCGCGGCUUAUCAGCUUGUUGGUGGGGUAGUUGCUUACCAAGGCUUUGACGGGUAGCCGGCCUGAGAGGGUGACCGGGCACAAUGGGACUGAGAUACGGCGCAGAGUGCUACGGGAGGCAGCGGGGGGGAAUAUUGCACAAUGGGGGGGAGUCUGAUGCAGCAACGCCGCGUGCGUGAUGACGGCCUUGGGGGGGUAAACCGCAUUCGCCUGUGACGAAGCGUGAGUGACGGUAAUGGGUAAAGAAGCACCGGCUAACUACGUG